rnacentral:rRNA from 1 species
GCUAAUACCGCAUACGUCUGUGAAGAGAAAGCGGGGGAUCGUAAGACCUCGCGCUAUUGGAUGAGCCAAUGUCGGAUUAGCUAGUUGGUGGGGUAAUGGCCUACCAAGGCGACAAUCCGUAGCUGGUCUGAGAGGACGACCAGCCACACCGGAACUGAGACACGGUCCGGACUCCUACGGGAGGCAGCAGUGGGGAAUAUUGGACAAUGGGGGAAACCCUGAUCCAGCGACGCCGCGUGUGUGAAGAAGGCCUGCGGGUUGUAAAGCACUUUUAGUGGGGACAAAAAGUCAUGGGCGAAUACCCCGUGAUCUUGAUUUAACUCACAGAAAAAGCACCGGCUAACUCUGUGCCAGCAGCCGCGGUAAUACAGAGGGUGCGAGCGUUAAUCGGAAUUACUGGGCGUAAAGCGCGCGUAGACGGUUUGGUAAGUCAGAUGUGAAAUCCCUGGGCUCAACCUGGGAACUGCAUUUGAUACUGCCUGGCUAGAGUAUCGAAGAGGGAAGUGGAAUUUCCGGUGUAGCGGUGAAAUGCGUAGAUAUCGGAAGGAACACCAGUGGCGAAAGCGACUUCCUGGUCGAAUACUGACGUUCAUGUGCGAAAGCGUG